CCCUUAGAUGUCCUGGGCCGCACGCGCGCUACACUGAUGCAUUCAACGAGUAUUUCCUUGGCCGAGAGGCCUGGGCAAUCUUUUAAACCUGCAUCGUGAUAGGGAUAGAUUAUUGCAAUUAUUAAUCUUGAACGAGGAAUUCCUAGUAAACGCAAAUCAUCAAUUUGCAUUGAUUACGUCCCUGCCCUUUGUACACACCGCCCGUCGCACCCACCGAUUGAAUGGUCCGGUGAAAUCUCGGGAUUGUGGCCAGUUCACUUUAUUGGGAGUUGGCUGCGAGAACUUGCUUAAACCUUAUCAUUUAGAGGAAGGUGAAGUCGUAACA
rnacentral:rRNA from 1 species